AGCAGAGUUGCCUGGAGCCUGUCCUUUAGGAAUUUUAGCACAGUAUGGGGGUUUCCUUACCUACCACACUCACACUUAGGUGGUGUGAUUCUGGGCAAGUGGCUUCUCUCCCAGCUUUGUGAUUCUAGCACCAAGAUGAAGACCCAUCCUGUCAGGUUGUGUGUGGGUAAGGUGACCACCACAGCCUGCCCUGAGCUGGCCUUCCACACUGAGUUACCAGUGACACCUGGGAUCCAACUUGGAGCUCCCCCCAAGAACUUCACACGCGAUCUGCAUCAGGGCUCCACCCUCAGCCCAUCUAGCUCACUUGACCGAGAGCAUAGGUGACUAGAGGCAACUAAGGGGCCUGGAGAGAUGGAGGCUCAGCAGUUAAGAGCACUGACUACAGCACCACUCCUGCCUCAGGACCUUUGCAUGAUCCCUUCGCCAGCAUCACUUCAGACAUCUCCACAGCUGACCCUCUGCUCCUCAGGGACUUGUCAUCUCACUGCUCCCUUCCAUGUCUCCGGGUGUCUUCCAAGCAGAGGCUCUGUAAGCCCACACAGCAUGUUGGGAAGGUCAGACCGACUUCCCUCUUCACAGAGGACACUGGGCCCAGCUGGCCAACCCAAUCAUUUGUCCAGCAGAUGAGGGAUUCGAGCUCCUGCUGACUCCAAAGUGUGGAGGUGCUGGGAAUAGAGGCGCAAAGAUUUCUGAACUCACAAGACCCCGAACAGAACCCCU